UAAAAAAGAUAGUGAAGAUACAAACACACUUUGGUUAAUAUUCAAAAACUCAUUACAAAACACUAUCACCGAGAACAUACCACAGAAAAUGAUGAGAAACAGCAAACAUUUACCUUGGAUAACAGACAGUAUUAGACGGCAAAUGAAAAAGUACAAGAAAAAAUAUCAAAAGUACAAAUUGAAAGGCAAAGGGAAACUAGACCAAC
rnacentral:lncRNA from 1 species